AGGCUUUCACAAUUCCACAUACUCAAUAAUACUACUUUCCUCUGUUUGUAUUUUCCUGGUUCCUUCUUUUUUCUUCUUCUGCAUUCAUAUCUGGGUUUUUCUCUUCCAUCAGAUCGAAGAUCGGGGUACCUUAAUCUUGGCGCCAAUUGGAUUCUUCACCCGUUUCCGUUCAUUAGGUUUCUUUGAGACGAUCGAGUUUUCGGCAUAUGUUGCCUAUCACAUGUUGAACAAUUUAGGGUUCUGCGCCUCCCAUUACAAUGGGUUUCCUCCCAACUUGUUAAAUCAUUGUGGCAUUGGUUGAUUUCUCUUUCCAUGUAUGCAAAGUUUGAUUCUUUUACAUUCUUGCCCAAAAGCCCAACUUCCAUUCUCCAAUACGUUACCGUUUCGGUUUCUUCCGAAACUUUGGACGUGGGUUUUGCUUUGAAAAUUUGAGUUUGUUGCCGUUUGCGUUCUUUUUCAGGUUGCGGGGUAGUUAUAUGGGUUUUAUGAGGGAAUUGUUGUAGAGAGUAUAUUGUAUUCUUGGCUUGUCUUUUUGAAGAUGAAGAGGCUGAAGAUUGAACCUCCCAAUUCGAGGAGGUGUAGGUUGUCCCAUUUUUUGUUUGGUGUUGGGGUGUUAUACUUGGUUUUUGUAUCUUGCAACUUUCCACAGUUUCUGAAGAUCAUGUCAACGUUAAGUGGUGAUGAAGGUUACAAUGGAUUGGAUGGGUUAGCUACUGGGGACUCUGAAGAUGCAGAUUUAAGCAAACCUUUCGUUAGUUCUGUUUAUAAAGAUGCAUUUCACCGGCGGUUAGAAGAUAAUAGGGACCAGGAUGCUCCCUUGAGGCCGGAUAAAGAACCAAUGAAGGAGGAAGAUCAUGGCCGUGAAUCUAUGAAGCAGAUUCCGAAGCGAUAUGGUAGGAUUACUGGAGAAAUCUUGAGGCAAAUGAACAGGACCAAUGAUUUCUCUGUGCUUGAGAGAAUGGCAGAUGAGGCAUGGACAUUAGGGUUAAAGGCUUGGAAAGAAAUAGACAAGGUUGAUGGCAAGGAGUCUGGAGAAAGCUCUAUGAUUGAUGGAAGGCUUGAAUCUUGUCCUUCUUGGAUAUCAAUGGGUGGGGAAGAAUUGUUGAAGGGGGAUAACUUGAUGUUUCUUCCAUGUGGACUUGCAGCAGGUUCUUCAAUCACCGUGGUGGGGACACCCCAUUAUGCUCAUAAGGAGCAUGCUCCCCAGCUUGCAAGGUUGAGGAAAGGUAAUGGGUUGGUUUCGGUUUCACAGUUCAUGGUUGAAUUACAAGGGCUUAAAUCAGUGGAUGGGGAAGAUCCUCCUAAGAUUCUUCACUUGAAUCCUCGAUUAAGAGGGGAUUGGAGCAAACGACCAGUUAUUGAGCAUAAUACCUGUUAUCGAAUGCACUGGGGAACAGCUCAAAGAUGUGAUGGUCUGCCAUCUGAGAAUGAUAAUGAAAUGCUUGUUGAUGGGUAUAGACGAUGUGAAAAAUGGAUGCGGAAUGACAUUGUAGACUCAAAAGAGUCCAAGACAACGUCAUGGUUCAAGCGGUUUAUAGGGCGUGAGCAGAAGCCAGAAGUGACCUGGCCAUUUCCUUUUGUAGAGGGUAGAAUGUUUGUCCUUACACUACGAGCUGGUGUUGAUGGAUACCAUAUUAAUGUUGGGGGUCGCCAUAUAACUUCAUUUCCAUAUCGGACAGGUUUUACACUCGAAGAUGCUACAGGAUUAGCAGUUAAAGGAGACGUUGAUGUUCAUUCAAUUUUUGCUACCUCUCUCCCUACUUCACAUCCAAGUUUCUCACCUCAGAGAGUACUGGAAAUGUCUGAGACAUGGAAAUCCAGUGCUCUACCUAAACAUGCUGUUAGACUCUUUAUUGGAGUUCUUUCUGCUUCAAAUCACUUUGCAGAACGUAUGGCAGUUCGAAAAACAUGGAUGCAAGCAGCUGCAAUCAAAUCUUCGAAUGUAGUAGUACGAUUCUUUGUUGCAUUGAAUCCAAGGAAAGAAGUAAACGCAGUGCUGAGGAAGGAGGCUGCUUACUUUGGUGAUAUUAUCAUUUUGCCCUUUAUGGACCGCUAUGAGCUUGUUGUGCUUAAAACCAUGGCUAUCUGUGAGUUUGGGAUUCAGAAUGUGACUGCUGCAUAUGUCAUGAAAUGUGAUGACGACACUUUUAUUAGGGUGGAUACUGUCUUGAAAGAAAUUGAAGCUGUACCUCCGGAAAAGUCCCUUUAUAUGGGCAAUCUCAAUCUCUUGCAUCGGCCUCUGAGAAAUGGCAAAUGGGCAGUUACUUAUGAGGAGUGGCCAGAGGAAGUGUAUCCCCCUUACGCAAAUGGCCCUGCCUACAUAAUUUCCAAAGAUAUUGUUAAUUUCGUCACAUCUCAACACAAGGAUAGAAAGCUGAGGCUGUUUAAGAUGGAGGAUGUAAGCAUGGGAAUGUGGGUUGAGCGAUUUAACAACACAAUGAGAGCCGUUCAAUACUCUCACAACUGGAAGUUUUGUCAGUACGGAUGCAUGGAGGACUACUUCACUGCACAUUACCAAUCACCAAGGCAAAUGGUUUGUCUAUGGGAUAAAUUGUCAAGAGGUCGAGCACGAUGCUGCAACUUCAGAUGACAAUGUUUGAUUUGUCAUUGUAUCAUUGUUGUUUUGUGCUGAUGUUAGUUCACACCUGGGUAUAUGCAUCUCUCCAUCCUGUUGCGACUUUCAAGAUUUGAACCCUCUACCCAAUUAAAGCC